GCCUGCCGCCCGCAGAGCGGAGCUGCGAGGACUACCCUGGCGCCGAGGGCGCGCCCCGGAACGGGCACGGGCGCGAACGCGCGCGUUCCUAGGACUCGGCGGUCAGAUGAAGACAAGUAAUAAUUCCUAUAAAGGAGAGAAGAGCAGUAAGUAUGAAGUCUGAAGAACCGGGUAAUUGCGAUCUUCAUCACCAGCCAGAGCUCCCAGCCCUUGGACACUUUAUACACGGUUCUCUGGUCUCAGACAGUCCUGACCUAGAGGAAAAUACACUUCACUGAACUCAGAGAACUAUCUUUGUCCUCUUUGUAAUCCCUGGAGGGUUUUGCAAAAUAUCAGUGGAAAGAGUCUGCUGACAGGAUACCUAAUGAAGAGAAAGAAGACUGUCCAGAAAGUGUGCCAUGAGCAAAGACAAAGAACCAAGAUUACAGAUGCACUCUAUGAUAACGAGUAACUUCUUGGUCUAUAAUAGAAGGUGCUUAUUGGAAGUUACCUGAGGUCAACCACAAUCUGGAAGCAGAUGAUCCUUCUGAUAUAUCAUCAAAGGGUCAAUAGUGGCCCAAUGUUAUGUCACAAUGCCUGUGACAUUCACUUCACCUCUAGUAGGUGUUUUAUCCUCUCACAUCCAAAGAAGAAAGGUAUCCUCAAGAAAAUGAAAAAAAAAAACCCCACAGAAUGGGAGAACAUACAUGCAAGUCGUAUAUCCAAUAGUGGACUUAUAUCCAGAAUAGUUAAAGAAUUCUUCCAACUCAAUAGUAAAAAGAACUGAUGCUUAAGAAGUUCUUAUGGGAAAGAUCCAUGAAGUUACAGCUUCAUUUGUCAAAGACACUAGAUUCUUUGAAAUGCUUUAUUUUAAAAGUAUCAUACUGGAACAACUGAACAUUUUUAGGGUAAUAAUUCUGUGAAACAGACCAUAUUAUGUGAGCUUGUGCACUCGUCUCAAGAAGUAUAGGUGAGGGACAUAUAUGUCAUUUUAAGAAAUAUGAUUAA